CGCCUCGGAGCGCCUUCCAGAUAGGCAACCCUCCUCCCUCCAUGCUCCCCGGUGUGACUGGCGGCCUAUCUGCCCCUGUCGACUCCCGGCUAGAAAUCGGCCCGCCGCCACGGCGAGCCGAACCGCACCCGAACGGCGAGGGGACAGGAGGUUUUCGGGAUCAGGUGUCAGACGGUUUUGAGAUUUCGCCUUGGACAGUUGUCCGGAAGAGUUUCUGCUCGUGCUCAUUGUCACCAUGUGCUCGCCGCCCACGUCAAUCAUCUGCCCUGCGGGGCUUUUUGUACCGGGCAACCAUCAACCUACCAUGGAGUAGAUAUCUCUAGAAGGCCGCCCCAUGACCUUGAUGCCCUUGACCUUUGACCUCCAGCCACCUGCCGACCGAAUCCACCAUGGAGUUAAUCUGCAAGAUGUUACUCCAUUUGAGAAACUAUCUCUGGUUUCCUCCUCUACAAUUACCUCCCUGAGCAUCUGAUAUACUUUGCAUUUCUAUUGGCAGUUGUAACGGCUUGUUAAUGUACUUGACCACCUGUGACCUGACCUUUGCGAAAGACAUCUGGUUAUGUAAACCCUCGGUUGCUUUCUUCCCCAUGUGUUUGGGUGACUUGCCAAUGCUGUGAUGUUUUUUCGUUUGAGUUGUAUUUGUAGGGUUUGUUUUGUCGACCUUUGUAUGUUGGUAUCUACCCUAAAAGCUAGUUUCGCUUGAUUGGUUUUUCUUUCUCCGAAUGUUAAGUGUGCCUGAUGAAGUGUUGUCUGCGACUCCUGAGUGCUUGUUAAUUUUAUAGAGCUUGUCGCUACUUUUGUCUGGGUAAAAUAAUACAACUCUUGGUUCAGGUCUUGUUACGAGUCCAGUUGAAGAAUUUCUCAGAUGUUACUUCGUUGACUUUGUUUUCUGAUUGGUAUCUAAACUAUUGCUUUUGCCAAGUGUAUUUCUUGUGAAGUAUAUUUGCUGUGAGUAUGUGACUAACUUGAGUAUUGUUAGUGUAUUUUGUAUAUUGUAUUUUUGUACCUCUUUGUAUGUAAUAUUUUGCUCUGUAUUUUGUAUCUUGUGUAUCUUGUAUCUGGUGUCUUGAUAUUGUGUAUGAUGAAUGUAUUUAUGCCUUUCGAAUAAUUAAGUAGGAAAAUUAUAUUGUGGGUUCGAGCACCGCACGUUAGGAUCCUAAUAGUGUUUCUGUCUGUGCCUGAUUCCAUGUUAGUGUUUCUUUUGUAAAUCCCACUCCUACUGUAAUAAAAAAAUAGCAUUGUAAAAUUCAA